UCGCUUGCAACCCGGGAUCGUGGUUCGAAUCCAACACAAGCGCAAGACAAUUUAUAGCCACUGCGUCUGAGAAGGUUGGUUACUGCUUGGACGCCCUGACCGCCUGACUUCGAGACAAUCUGCUGUUGUUGCUGAGACUGUCCUCUCGCGGCUGAAUGCCGAAUCAUAGACUUCGCUGCAUCAGAGAGCGGUUUCUGAUUCUCUAAGGUAAGCCGCACACCGACAUGCGUCAAGAUAUGUAACAGUCAAGACACGAUGUCUGCGACAUGAAGCAAAGGAAGGAGCACAGUUGAAACGAGUGAGAUUACGUAAACCACCGCACAUCUGUCUGAGUCAAGAGAAACUGCAAAUGUUGAUGACGGCUACUUUAUUCCCUCUAAGUCGACCAACCAAAGUCAGCUUUCAUCCUUCCAAAUAUGACAAAAGCAAAUCAAAUAACCAAUUGGCAGAUCUGGGAAGAGAGAAUUAGCACCUAAAUAAGCUCAAAUCAAUAAAAUAAGCAUAAUAAUAAAGAAGAAGAACAAGUUCUACAAAAUAUUACUUAAUGAUCCUUCGAUAGUCAUAUUAAGAAUUUAUAGUGAAUUUAAUUUUAUUUAUGUAGGAAUAUGUCGAAGGCAUGCAAUGUAUCCCCCAAAUAUAUAGCCUGAGAGUCCUUAUUUUCGUAUGCAGUUCAACGUGGGGGGUGAGAUUAACAAAGGGGAAGGUUUGUGUAUAAUCCCUGCCUCUCCUUUUCUCAAGCUUCCAAUUUUCUGCACUUCUGUUUUUCUUCUCUGCCCCUUGAUAAUAAGAAGGGUUAAAAUAGCCAUGCAGUAGAGAUUUGGGGGAAGGGAAGCAGAAAAGAUAUUAAAAAAAAAUAGACAAAAUAAACGAUCAAAGCGUGUGUCAGAAAGAAGUGGGUAGAGUCGUGACAUGUCAGCAGAAAAUGAACACCGGAAGGGUGGAGAAAAGGAAAUGGCUGGGAUUGGCUAGUAGCUCUCUGCUUUAAUUAGCUUCAGAUGUGCCAAACUGCACUGAUUCUCGCAUAAUUACCCAAAUUUCCGUGCCGAAAGGCAUUUGUAAAUGCAAUGGUGCAGGGGUAAUUCACCUGUGACAAGUUCAGUUUUUUUACAUUCACGUCAUCUGUUUAAUGACACAUAAAAUAGAGUAAUCUUAACACAACCUUA